rnacentral:rRNA from 1 species
CCUACGGGAGGCAGCAGUGAGGAAUAUUGGUCAAUGGGCGCGAGCCUGAACCAGCCAAGUAGCGUGAAGGAUGACUGCCCUACGGGUCGUAAACUUCUUUUAUAAAGGAAUAAAGUGAGGCACGUGUGCCUUUUUGUAUGUACUUUAUGAAUAAGGAUCGGCUAACUCCGUGCCAGCAGCCGCGGUAAUACGGAGGAUCCGAGCGUUAUCCGGAUUUAUUGGGUUUAAAGGGAGCGUAGAUGGGUUGGUAAGUCAGUUGUGAAAGUUUGCGGCUCAACCGUAAAAUUGCAAUUGAUACUGGCAGUCUUGAGUACAGUUGAGGUAGGCGGAAUUCGUGGUGUAGCGGUGAAAUGCUUAGAUAUCACGAAGAACUCCGAUUGCGAAGGCAGCUUACUAAACUGCCACUGACAUUGAUGCUCGAAAGUGUGGGUAUCAAACAGGAUUAGAUACCCCAGUAGUC